rnacentral:rRNA from 1 species
UUGAUCCUGGCUCAGGAUGAACGCUAGCGGCAGGCUUAACACAUGCAAGUCGAGGGGUAUGGUUCUUCGGAACCAGAGACCGGCGCACGGGUGCGUAACGCGUAUGCAAUCUACCUUUCACAGAGGGAUAGCCCAGAGAAAUUUGGAUUAAUACCUCAUAGUAUAUUGAUCUCGCAUGAGAUUAUUAUUAAAGAUUUAUCGGUGAAAGAUGAGCAUGCGUCCCAUUAGUUAGUUGGUAAGGUAACGGCUUACCAAGACUACGAUGGGUAGGGGUACCUGAGAGGGAGAUCCCCACACUGGUACUGAGACACA